rnacentral:rRNA from 1 species
AGAGUUUGAUCCUGGCUCAGGACGAACGCUGGCGGCGUGCUUAACACAUGCAAGUCGUACGAGACGAUUGAAAGCUUGCUUUUGAAAGUCGAGUGGCAAACGGGUGAGUAACGCGUAGACAACCUGCCGUAAAGAUGGGGACAACAGUCCGAAAGGACUGCUAAUACCGAAUGUUGUGGAACUUCCGCAUGGGAGCUCUACUAAAGAUGGCCUCUACUUGUAAGCUAUCGCUUUACGAUGGGUCUGCGUCUGAUUAGCUAGUUGGUGGGGUAACGGCUUACCAAGGCGACGAUCAGUAGCCGGUCUGAGAGGAUGAACGGCCACAUUGGAACUGAGACACGGUCCAGACUCCUACGGGAGGCAGCAGUGGGGAAUCUUCCGCAAUGGGCGCAAGCCUGACGGAGCAACGCCGCGUGAGUGAAGAAGGGUUUCGACUCGUAAAGCUCUGUUGUCGGGGACGAAUGUGGAGAUGGUGAAUAACCAUUUCCAAUGACGGUACCUGACGAGGAAGCCACGGCUAACUACGUGCCAGCAGCCGCGGUAAUACGUAGGUGGCGAGCGUUGUCCGGAAUUAUUGGGCGUAAAGGGAGCGCAGGCGGGAGGUCAAGUCUAUCUUAAAAGUGCGGGGCUCAACCCCGUGAGGGGAUGGAAACUGGUCUUCUUGAGUGCAGGAGAGGAAAGCGGAAUUCCUAGUGUAGCGGUGAAAUGCGUAGAUAUUAGGAGGAACACCAGUGGCGAAGGCGGCUUUCUGGACUGUAACUGACGCUGAGGCUCGAAAGCGUGGGGAGCGAACAGGAUUAGAUACCCUGGUAGUCCACGCCGUAAACGAUGAAUGCUAGGUGUAGGAGGUAUCGACCCCUCCUGUGCCGGAGUUAACGCAAUAAGCAUUCCGCCUGGGGAGUACGGCCGCAAGGCUGAAACUCAAAGGAAUUGACGGGGGCCCGCACAAGCGGUGGAGUAUGUG